GGUCAAGUUAUUAAGGGUGCAGGGCGGAUGCCUUGGCACUAGGAGCCGAUGAAGGACGUGAUAAGCUGCGAUAAGCUUCGGGGAGUUGCACGUAAACUUUGAUCCGAAGAUUUCCGAAUGAGGAAACUCACUUAGAGUAAUGUCUAAGUAUCAUUAAGUGAAUACAUAGCUUAAUGAGGGGAACUCAGGGAACUGAAACAUCUAAGUACCUGAAGGAAGAGAAAGAAAUUCGAUUCCGUAAGUAGCGGCGAGCGAACGCGGAUUAGCCCAAACCAAUAAAGUUUUCUUUAUUGGGGUUGCGGACAUAUCAUAACGAAGAGGUAUCGUAAUUGAAGAGGUUUGGAAAGACCCACCACAGAAGGUAAUAGUCCUGUAUGUUAAACGAGAAGACUUUAGAUAUGAUCCAGAGUACCACGGGACACGUGAAACCCUGUGGGAAGCAGGAGGGACCACCCUCCAAGGCUAAAUACUACCUAGUGACCGAUAGCGUAUAGUACCGUGAGGGAAAGGUGAAAAGAACCCCGGGAGGGGAGUGAAAUAGAACCUGAAACCCUGCACUUACAAGCUGUGGAAGCACAUUUCUUGUGUGACCGCGUACUUUUUGUAGAACGGGCCAACGAGUUACGUUAAGUAGCAAGGUUAAGCACUUAAGGUGCGGAGCCGUAGCGAAAGCGAGUUUUAACUGAGCGUUCAGUUACUUGACGUAGACCCGAAACCGGGCGACCUACCCAUGAGCAGGAUGAAGCGAAAGUAAAAUUUCGUGGAGGUCCGAACCCACGAGCGUUGAAAAGCUCGGGGAUGACUUGUGGGUAGCGGUGAAAUUCCAAUCGAGCCCGGAGAUAGCUGGUUCUCCCCGAAAUAGCUUUAGGGCUAGCCUCAAGGUGAGAGAUACGGAGGUAGAGCACUGAAUGUCCUAGGGGGUAUUGCACCUACCGAAGACUAUCAAACUCCGAAUGCCGUCAUCUUAUACUUGGGAGUCAGACUGUGGGUGAUAAGAUUCAUAGUCGAAAGGGCAACAGCCCAGAUCGUCAGCUAAGGUCCCUAAAUGUAAGUUAAGUGGUAAAGGAUGUGGGAUUGCACAGACAACCAGGAUGUUGGCUUAGAAGCAGCCACUCAUUCAAAGAGUGCGUAAUAGCUCACUGGUCGAGUGAUCCUGCGCCGAAGAUUUCCGGGGCUAAAACUUACUACCGAAGCUACGGCAUCAGUAAUGAUGGGUAGGGGAGCUUCCCAUACGGGUUGAAGCAUGACCGUAAGGACAUGUGGACAGUAUGGGAGUGAGAAUGUUGGC
rnacentral:rRNA from 1 species